ensembl:lncRNA
GGGAGAAGCAACCUGUCACUGAACAGACUCUUCUGGUUGUUAAUGGCCGUGUGCAGAGGAUGCCUGGCAUUGUUCAUAAUGUCCAGCAGUUUUUUUAGUUUUUAAUGAAUCUUAAAUGACAAGAAUGGGUGAUAAUAAUUAUGGUACAAUAAUAAUCAUGAUGACUAUAUCUGUUGUACAGAUGCCCAGAAUGGAAGAAACCUGUUUACUGCUCAUCCUGCUGCUCUCAGGGGGACUUUCCACUCUUCCUCCCCACUCCAGAGAAUACCACUUUGUGAACCAGAAAAUGACCUGGACUGAAGCUCAGAGUUACUGCAGAGAACACUUCACUGACUUGGUCACCAUUUACAACAGCGGCAUUUUAUUUAAAGACCGGGACAUGGGAAGAUGGCCUCUGCACCACCACAUUCAGUUUUUUCUGUUUCACAGCAGUGACAAAGCAAACAGUGGUGAAAAUGAAGCUUCAGUCAGAGGCAGACAUGCACAGCACAGAGAUCCAGCAGCAGGUUUCACAGCAGCUGUCAGGCCUCAUGCUGUCAGAAGGACUGACAGACUUCACGAUUCGUUGGAGGAAAGUCCAGAGUUACCGUGACGACCAGUUGAAGAAGCAGGAUGUGGACGGUGGCUGCAAAACUUAAGACUGACUGGACUGAACCACUUCAUGUGUGAAGUUAAUAACAUGCUGUGCUGAGCUGUCUCAUCCUUUGAACCUUUCAAUAUUUCAGAGUGUAAAGUUCCACCAAAAGCUCAUUUGUUCAGCUGCAGUUGUAGUUUGGUAGAAAUUCUUUAAUCAGAGGUCCACUCACUAGUUUUCCCUGAUAGGCUCUAGUCUCUUGUUUUUGUUCUGCAGUGUCUCUUUUAAAAGCUUUGACACUGUCCUUCUGCUUUUGCUUUGAUGGUUGAUAACUAUAAAAAUAUCAGCCAUAAAUAGGUCCAUGAGAGCCCCAAACCUUACCUGACUUCAAAUUUGAUCAGGAUAUCAGCUGCAAUGAUUCUGGCUGUUCUCGUAUCUGUAAAGUUAACUUCAAUUGAACUUUAGUGGCUGGGAGCAAACUCUAGCAUAUUCAGAGUUAUUGUUAUGAUAAUAGUUUUUGCUGUCACGGUUCUGAGUCUUUCUGUUCUUGUGUUUUUUAUAUUAUGGGUUAUGUUUUGAGUCCUUUGUUGUACUGUGUUUGUUAUUUCCCUAGGUUUUCAGUUAUGGUUAUCAUAGGUUUAUUUCUUAGGUUUUGUAAUAUGGCUUCCCUGUGUUCCAUGUUAUGUCUACUGUGCCUUUCUGUACCAUGUUUCAGGUCCCUAUGUUCUGUCUCCCCAGUUGCUGUUAAGUUUACAUGUCUAGAGUUCAGUGUGUUUCCUGUUUUACUUUGAAGGUCCGUGUCUCAUGUCAGUGUUUCUAGUUUUGCUUCCCUUGUCUCGUCCAGCCUGAUUACUCCCAGCUGUGCUCUCCUUCUCUGUCUCAUUACCUCGUUAUCCCCCAGUAUAUUUAACCCCUGUGUUUCUCUUUGUCAGUAUCAUAGUCUCUCUCAUGGCUGUGUUUCCCUGUGUGAUAGUUAUCCUUGUCUCAGUUUAGUUUUGUUAUAUUUUUUGUGCCGUU